rnacentral:rRNA from 1 species
GACGAACGCUGGCGGCGUGCUUAACACAUGCAAGUCGAACGGAAAGGCCCUGCUUUUGUGGGGUGCUCGAGGGGCGAACGGGUGAGUAACGCGUGUGAAACCUGCCCUUUACUUUGGGAUAACUUCAGUAAACUGGGGCUAAUACCGGAUAGUCGCUCCUGCUGCAUGGUGUGGGUUGGGAAGUUGCGGCGGUUGGGGUUGGGCUCGCGGGUGAGCAGCUUGUUGGUGGGGUGGUGGCUUGCGAAGGCGUUGACGGGUAGCGGGCCUGAGAGGGGGACCGGACACACUGGGCCUAAGACAAGGCGCAGCAUCAGACGGGAGGCAGGAGUGGGGAAUAUUACACAGUGGGCGGAACCCUGCGGCAGAGACGCCGCGCGCGGGAUGACGGCCUUCGGGUUGUAAACAGCUUUCGACUGUGACGAAGCGGGAGUGACGGUAAUGGGUAAAGAAGCACCGGCUAACUACGUG